GACGAACGCUGGCGGCGUGCUUAACACAUGCAAGUCGAACGGAAAGGCCCUGCUUUUGUGGGGUGCUCGAGUGGCGAACGGGUGAGUAACACGUGAGUAACCUGCCCUUGACUUUGGGAUAACUUCAGGAAACUGGGGCUAAUACCGGAUAGGAGCUCCUGCUGCAUGGUGGGGGUUGGAAAGUUUCGGCGGUUGGGGAUGGACUGGCGGCUUAUCAGCUUGUUGGUGGGGUAGUGGCUUACCAAGGCUUUGACCGGUAGCCGGCCUGAAAGGGUGACCGGCGACCAGGGGACUGAGAUACGGCCCAGACGGCUACGGGAGGCAGCGGGGGGGAAUAUGGCACAGUGGGCGGAAGCCUGAUGCGGCAACGUCGCGGGCGGGAUGACGGCCUUCGGGUUGUAAACCGCUUUCGCCUGUGACGAAGCGUGAGUGACGGUAAUGGGUAAAGAAGCACCGGCUAACUACGUG
rnacentral:rRNA from 1 species